rnacentral:rRNA from 1 species
GAUGAACGCUGGCGGUAUGCUUAACACAUGCAAGUCGAACGGACUCUUCGGAGUUAGUGGCGGACGGGGGAGUAACGCGUGAGAAUCUGGCUUUGGGUUCGGGACAACCACUGGAAACGGUGGCUAAUACCGGAUGUGCCGAGAGGUAAAAGAGAAAUUGCCUGAAGAUGAGCGCGCGUCUGAUUAGCUAGUUGGUGAGGUAAAGGCUCACCAAGGCAGCGAUCAGUAGCUGGUCUGAGAGGAUGACCAGCCACACUGGGACUGAGACACGGCCCAGCCUCCUACGGGAGGCAGCAGUGGGGAAUUUUCCGCAAGGGGCGAACGCCUGACGGAGCAAUACCGCGUGAGGGAAGAAGGCUCUUGUGUUGUAAACCUCUUUUCUUAGGGAAGAACAAAAUGACGGUACCUAAGGAAUCAGCAUCGGCUAACUCCGUG